GACGAACGCUGGCGGCGUGCUUAACACAUGCAAGUCGAACGGAAAGGCCCUGCUUUUGUGGGGUGCUCGAGUUGCGAACGGGUGAGUAACACGUGAGUAACCUGCCCUUGACUUUGGGAUAACUUCAGGAAACUGGGGCUAAUACCGGAUAGGAGCUCCUGCUUCAUGGUGGGGGUUGGAAAGUUUCGGCGGUUGGGGAUGGACUCGCGGCUUAUCAGCUUGUUGGUGGGGUAGUGGCUUACCAAGGCUUUGACGGGUAGCCGGCCUGAGAGGGUGACCGGCCACAUUGGGACUGAGAUACGGCCCAGACUCGUACGGGAGGCAGCAGUGGGGAAUAUUGCACAAUGGGCGGAAGCCUGAUGCAGCAACGCCGCGUGCGGGAUGACGGCCUUCGGGUUGUAAACCGCUUUCGCCUGUGACGAAGCGUGAGUGACGGUAAUGGGUAAAGAAGCACCGGCUAACUACGUG
rnacentral:rRNA from 1 species